CCUCAAUCUGCGGUAUGUGCAUGUCUCUUUGAUUUGACUCCAUGUAAUAAGUUUUGUUGUAGUUGAUAUUAAUGUUCACUUGUAUGGAUCUUAUCUGCAAAGAGAAUCUGUCAGCUGAUAGUCCAGUGUCAGCCAAUAAACCUGAGGUAAGAGAGGGAGUUAGGAGAACCGUAAGUGGAUCUUCUCAUGUUAACUCUGAUGAAGAAGAUGCAGAGACAGAAGCUGGCCAAUCUGAAAUGACUAAUGAUCCCAAUGAUCUAAAACGUAUUAGAAGGUAUGUUAGGUACCGAUAAAAAGUUCGAUGUAAGAAACUGAGAUAGAGAAUCACCAUUUCUUUUAAUCUGUUUUGUGAUGUGAAUUCAGGAUGAAUUCAAACAGAGAAUCAGCAAAGCGGUCGAGGAGAAGGAAGCAAGAGUACUUG
rnacentral:lncRNA from 1 species